CAGCAGCCGCGGGAAUACGUAGGUGGCAAGCGUUGUCCGGAAUUAUUGGGCGUAAAGGGCUCGCAGGCGGUUUCUUAAGUCUGAUGUGAAAGCCCCCGGCUCAACCGGGGAGGGUCAUUGGAAACUGGGAAACUUGAGUGCAGAAGAGGAGAGUGGAAUUCCACGUGUAGCGGUGAAAUGCGUAGAGAUGUGGAGGAACACCAGUGGCGAAGGCGACUCUCUGGUCUGUAACUGACGCUGAGGAGCGAAAGCGUGGGGAGCGAACAGGAUUAGAUACCCGGGUAGUCCCUGUCUCUUAUAC
rnacentral:rRNA from 1 species